rnacentral:rRNA from 1 species
UACGGAGGGGACUAGCGUUGUUCGGAAUUACUGGGCGUAAAGCGCACGUAGGCGGAUUUGUAAGUCAGGGGUGAAAUCCCGGGGCUCAACCUCGGAACUGCCUUUGAUACUGCAAAUCUCGAGUCCGAUAGAGGUGGGUGGAAUCCCUAGUGUAGAGGUGAAAUUCGUAGAUAUUAGGAAGAACACCGGUGGCGAAGGCGGCCCACUGGAUCGGUACUGACGCUGAGGUGCGAAAGCGUGGGGAGCAAACAGG